CCCACCUGCCCUGCUCCCCUGGCUGCUGCCCACCCUCAAUUCCCGUCCCAGCCUGCAGGCCGGCGGGGGGCGCAGAGUCUGGGGGCCCAGGACCCCGCCGCCGGAGCCGAGCCGGUGCCCGGAGACCCGGCGGGAAGGGCGAGCCGGAGCGGGGCUCGAGGCCGGAGCCCGUCGGAGCCAGGGAGACCCGGAGAGCGGAGGGAAAGAGUGGAGUGCCAGGCGCGCGCUGGCCGGGCCCGGCGGACGGGUGCAGUGGUUUCCAAAUCCUUAGAGCGGCGCCCCGUCACUGUCACUGCAGCUUUUCACCCUAGAGCUGUGCCCUGGGACCGGAGACCCCGAGCUGGGAGAUCGUCUGAGAGGAUAUAGACCCGCAGCUAACUGGAUUUGAUUUAUAAGAAGGAAAUCUACAGUCAAUGGCCACUCUGCCACAUUGCUACUAUGGAAAACAG
rnacentral:lncRNA from 1 species